UGCCAUGCUUUCAGACGCAAGAAAUAGCUCC
rnacentral:piRNA from 1 species